AGUAACACGUGAGCAACCUGCCUUUCAGUGGGGGACAACAGUUGGAAACGACUGCUAAUGCCGCAUAACGUGCCGGAAGGGCAUCCUUUUGGUACCAAAGAUUUAUCGCUGAAAGAUGGGCUCGCGUCUGAUUAGAUAGUUGGUGAGGUAACGGCCCACCAAGUCGACGAUCAGUAGCCGGACUGAGAGGUUGAUCGGCCACAUUGGGACUGAGACACGGCCCAGACUCCUACGGGAGGCAGCAG
rnacentral:rRNA from 1 species